rnacentral:lncRNA from 1 species
GUUGUAAAUCUAAGCGAUAAGGGAAGUUUAUGAGCAAAAACUAUGCCUUCUUGUUGUUGUAUCUACUUCUUCAGAACGAAGCAAGAGACAAAGUGGAUGUAUUGGAUUUGAUAAGGAAGAAGACGAAGCAGCAGAAGCAGAGGUUCUUGAAAGAUGGCCUGAAAAAGAUAACUUCAAAGAGUGCCAAUGUCAUAAAAGGGGUCCUAUGGCACACAGGGUUAAGUCAGGCAAAAGAAAGAAAUUAAAUCAAAAGGUAAAUAUUUAUAUAUAAAGUAAAAUUUCAAGUAUUUUCUUGUUAACUAGGAUGUUGAUCUAGAUAGGUUCUUGUAAAGUAUGUAUUAGCAUAAAUAUGGAGCUUGAAGCUCACGUCUAUUAAUAUGAAUUUGCAACAUUAAUGUUCAGAACGAUCCAAUUC